AAGACCUAUUGAACAAGCAAACAUUAGCAUUCCUAAACAUAUAUCUAAUAGUUCCUCAAAAUUCUGAAAGCAAAAUCAACAAUUAUAGUCAGUUUCAGUUGAACUCUCUUAAUAACGGAUAGACUGUGAAGUCAAUGCAUAAAAUAAAAUCAGUAAGAACACUGAGGACUUGAAAAAUAAUGCCAAGGACUUGGCCUAAUUGAUAUUUAAAAAUCACUCAAUCAUAGGAGGUACACACAAAACAUUUAACAAGAUAGACCAUACUCUGAGUCAUAAAACAAGUCUCAAUAAAUUAAAAAUGUAAAUCAUAAUGUAUAUUCUGUGACUAUGAUGUAAUUAAAUGAGUUUUUAGGAAAAUAGAAUUUUCUAACAGGCCAGGCAAGGUGGUUCACACCUGUAAUCCCAGUAGUUGGGGAGGCUGAGGCAGGAAGAUAUCAAGUACAAAGCCAGCCUCAUCAACUUAAAAAAGAGGCCCUAUCUCAAAAACUAAAAAGGCCUGGGGAUGUACUCAGUGGUAAAUUGCCCCUGAGUUCUUGGUUAAAUCCAUAAUACCAACAAUAACAACAACAAAAGUGAAAUCAAACACCAGAACAAAAAGCUAGCAGAAAUCACAUAGCAGAAAUAGAUACAAAGAUACUGAACACUAGAAUUAGCAGACAAAAAAUAUUAAGUGAAUGUGUAAUAAGUUUAAGAAUAAGACCAAUUUAAAAAUAUAUGGAAG
rnacentral:lncRNA from 1 species